UUAACCGUCACUGUGGUGUCUCUCUCAGAGUCUCACUCCUUCUCCUUUAUUGUGCUUUUUCAAAAUCCCAUUCACACUACAGUCAUGGAGAUAAGAAGAGAAGAGAUGAAAAAGUAACAAUCAGUCGCCGUUCGAGUUCAUCCUCGCGGUUCGAGUCCGCCGUUCACUGUUCGCGCAUCGCGGUUCGAGUUCGUCGUUCGCCGUUCACCGUCGCGGUUCGAGUUCUUGUUCCCUGUUCUCCCAUCGCGGUUUCAGUUUGCCGUUCGGCGUUCACCGUCGCGGUUCGAGUUCGUUGUUCCCUGUUCGCCGUUCAUCUCCAUCGCGGUUUGAGUUCGCCGUCUCCGUCUCCCACACUGUCCUUUCUCUUGCCCUCUUUUGUCAGUGCAAACCCUAAUCCCCUCUUUUCGAUAACCAUUUCGUCUCGUUCAACCACAAUAUUCAACAUGUUCGAUGAAAUGCUUCAACCAAAUUUGUGUGACUUUUUUUCUUUGCAUUCUAUUUUGCUAUAAUUUGUCAUAAUGAUUGCAUUCUCAUGUUUUUUCUGUGAAUUUCAUAGUCUACAUCAGAUAAUGGAAGAGUCUAAAGUGAAAAUUCAACCGCACAUAAUUUCAUUUUACACCUUAUUGUUGAUGCAAGAAGUAUUUGGUUAUAGUUGCUUGUGAAGAUUAAUAUCUUACAUCAGUAAAUUCUAGACAACAGGGAAGCUGUGGUCUUCUUUAUUUACUGAGCCUCUAAUAAUGCACAUAUGCUGAGACAAAGGUAUGAAUAAAUAUUCUUCUGUUUGUUUUAAAUGGAUCUUGUAUUCUUAUAUUUUCUUGUAUUUUCGUGUUAUUUCUUUCAACUCUUCAUCAGUGAAAAAUAUUGAGUAAACAUUUGUGUUUCUGGUUGGUUUUGAUGACCUAAACUUAAGCUACAUAGCUACAAUAUGGAUCAAUUCAAGUGCCAUUCAGACAGUUUCAUCUAUUCAGGUUGGCAUAAAACUCAGUUUGAACAUUACAGUAAAACUAUAAAGUUUCACUAAAAUAUUAGCCAUAUAGCAUACAUGUUCAACAUGUUUAGCAAAAAUUUUUCACUCAGUGUUUCUUUAGAAAUCAAAUUCUCAGACUUUUCUUGUUAAUUUUACAUUAUCAUCCCCAUAGCAGAACUCAUCAUGUAACUAUGUCUCUACCAUGUCUUUCAAUUGUAUAUUUAUAUAUGGCUCCAGUGUUUGGCUAUGAAAGAUUGCCAAAGCCCUUGUUCUUUCACAUGACUCCAGCUAUCACCAACUCAUUAAUUAUUAGUAUCUUCCUACUAACAUCACUUUGUUAUGUUGAUUAUUAAUUAGUCUUUGUGAAAUUGUGGCUAUGAAAUUGUAGCAUGAAGGAAACAGUAACCUAAAGGCUAAGGAGCCACUUCUUCAAUGCAGAGAGGUUGCUUCCGUAUCUUUUUUUCUUCUUUUUUUUUUAAUAAGAAAAUCAAGACUGCUUAUUAUUUGGUCCCUGACAAAGGAUCUUAAAUCUUAAGAUGUUUGAUCGUGAGCUUCUAAUUUGAGUGUCCCACAUGGAGAUCUAUAAUGAAGAAAUUAAUGACCUAGUUGUUGAAAAUCAGAAAUUGCAACUUGCUUUGUUUCUUUCUUUGCUGAAUAAUUAAUUGGUAAAAGGAACAGAUAAUCAGAUACUAUUAUGUCCUAAAUCAAUAUUAUACUCUUGUCCAAAUUGGGGUACCUGUAAAACCCAGGGAGGGAGGGAUAUGAUUUGUAUGAUUUGGAACUCACUGCUGUGAAGGACAACACUGAGUUGCGGAAGCUGUUGAUUGAGAUAUCAAGCAAGUCCAUUAUUGUGAUCGAGGUCAGAGGAGGAAGAAAAUUGAAAGAGUGAAGGAAAGAUGAAGAAGAAAAAGGUCAAAGUAAGAAUUGUUAGGUUUACAUGUUUAGAUUAAGUUGGAAUUUUUUGAAUUUACAUAUGGAUUAUGAUUAUGUAAUUAAAACUUGUAGAAUUCAACUUUUGAAAUACAUUGUUGUUAUUUUUGUAAAACUUGUGGGAUUAAAUUUGGAUUUUUUGA